rnacentral:rRNA from 1 species
CCUACGGGAGGCAGCAGUGGGGAAUAUUGCACAAUGGGCGCAAGCCUGAUGCAGCCAUGCCGCGUGUGUGAAGAAGGCCUUCGGGUUGUAAAGCACUUUCAGCGGGGAGGAAGGCGGUGAGGUUAAUAACCUCAUCGAUUGACGUUACCCGCAGAAGAAGCACCGGCUAACUCCGUGCCAGCAGCCGCGGUAAUACGGAGGGUGCAAGCGUUAAUCGGAAUUACUGGGCGUAAAGCGCACGCAGGCGGUCUGUCGAGUCGGAUGUGAAAUCCCCGGGCUCAACCUGGGAACUGCAUUCGAAACUGGCAGGCUAGAGUCUUGUAGAGGGGGGUAGAAUUCCAGGUGUAGCGGUGAAAUGCGUAGAGAUCUGGAGGAAUACCGGUGGCGAAGGCGGCCCCCUGGACAAAGACUGACGCUCAGGUGCGAAAGCGUGGGGAGCAAACAGGAUUAGAUACCCCAGUAGUC